UCACCACCACCAGCAGCAGAACAAAUGGAAAUUAUUAAUAGAACUUGGUGUUAUAAUGACAUGAUAUGAACAUGAUCAUAACACAAAGGCAUGGUUAUGUAGUCAUCAUAAGAUCACCAUAACAUCAGCAUAAUAUCAACAUGAUAAGUUGACCAUAAUAUGGUUAAUUACAACACAGAUCAUCCAUCCUGUGGGAAAAGGAUCCGUUUGUUAUGAACAUCUUCUCAGUUGUUUCUCUUGACUUGAGUAAAUUAUGACUCAUUUGUGAGUGUCGUUUUUUGCCAUGCUGUCUUUCUCCUCGACUAAUUAUUGCAAUGACGAACAUGAACUAUUGUGAAUAUUUAUCAUUGUCAACUGUGACAAGUCAAAUGAUCACGUUCAAUGUUUUUUUCUUGAUUGAGCCUAUUGUAUAUAAACCGAAGCUGUCCAACAAUAUUUGCCACUUGUUAACCGAAGCUGCGUCAGUCGAUAUUACGAUUUGUGAAAAAAAUGUUUCAUAUCAUUUUUGUUGUAUUUCAUCAUCAAAUCAUCAUCAUACAAUGAAUGAAUUAUAAUUUUUUUCUGGUUAAACAUAAUUCCGUCUUGUGAUUAAGUUCUGUGUAUUAAUUGGUGUCGUGAAAGAUGAACUGGUCUGGAAUGUUGUAUAAUAAUGCCUAAGCAUACGUCCUUUAUGUGUUAAAAUCAUUGCGAUUCUGAACAUGUUUCUUUCGUGCACAAUUUUACUGUGAAUAAUUUUUGCAAUAAACUAUAGUGUGGCACCACCACUGUUGCCAGUCAUGGGCAUUUGUGUCUGGUUGACUAUGAAUGUGUUUUGAUAAUAAUAUUUGUAUAUAAAGUCUUAAAAACGAUAAUAAAGUUUUGUCAUUGUUAUUUUGCUUUCAAACCGUGCUCUAUUUGUUACUAUAGUCAGAUUUGUUGUUUUUCCACAAUUGGUGUUUGUCAAGUGUUAGUUCAUCAGGAUAUUAAAGUGACUGAAUUUUAUGAAACAAUUUCAUUCGAAAAUUCUGUGUUGUGCUGUGCUUAGUGAAGUGUUGUGUUUCAUCAUCAUCGUUGUGUCCAUCUUGUUCAUCUGAAUAUCAUCAUCUUUAUUAAUCAAUAACCAGACAUAUUUUAGUGAAUUGACGCAACAAGUUUCAUAAUGAAUUUCGUGUUGUGAUUCAGUGCUGUGAUUAAUUGGUGUUUGUGAAGUGUUUCAUUGGUGUCAUCUUUAUCAAUUAGUGAAUUUCGUGUUGUGCAUAGUGCUGUGCAGUAAUUUAUUGGUGUUAGUGAAGUGUUUUUUUGGAUUCAACUCGUCUCUAAUUCCAUAUGUGGUUUGCUAUCAACUUGAUAUUCAUCAGACAACGUAUCAACAAGUGUCAAAUUGUUUUCUGUGUGUUGAUUAGAUUGUGAUUAUUUAAUUUGUGUUUUGUGUUGUGUUAUGUGUUCAUCUAGAAUUCAUCUUUAUAUCGUCAAUUCAACUCAGCUAUCUGCUCGACAUUUAACAUUGUCAUCUUGAUCGACUCGACGUACCCGGACAACUGCAU